CGAUUCAGAAAACCACACCAAACCCCAUAUCCAUUACCCUGCUAGUAUAUAGACGUACUCAAGGUAUAUUGACAAUCCCAGCCAAACCCACACAAAGUACGCUUGUCAAUCCCAAUCAUAUGUAUGUAUGCUAACAUAUCCUGGGUACAUAAUCCAGUGGCUUGAAAUUCAUUUUCAUAAACCACAGUAAAAUAUGAAUUUUCAACAUGAUGAACCCUAAUCCAGAGAUUCCAAUCAAAUCAUUUCCAUAAAAUUGUUUUAUCGAUGGUCUGUAGGGCUUGGCUGUGGAGUUAGAGGCAAAUUCGUGGCUUCAAACUUGAUGGGAAAAAAAUAGGGGUAUGGAGGUUGAAAUUGAUUGGUGCUAGUCAAAACCAUGCUCGCUUGUGCCUUGCGCGUUGAAGAUGAUCGGUGCUAGUAAAAAACAUGCUCGCUUGUGCCUUGCGCGCACUAUCGCUCACCCUACACAUGCCUCGGGUUCGUUGCUGUCAUGCCUUGUUGCUCACCCUCACGCGCAUACGUUUGCCCUUGCUCAUGUGUCAUCUGCUCGUCUGCCCAUCCAUCUACUCGAGGGCACUCGUCCCGCACACCAGCACGUCCCUAUGCGCACGCCCUAACACCCAGUGUGAAUGCCCAGUGCCCAGUGAUGCCUAUCCACAUGCCUUCUAUCGCCCACAGCUGCCCAUUGGCUUUGUUUUGGCCAUUUGGUAUUCUGUUGUGCUUGCAUUGAGGACCAUGAUGGAGAAUGUGAUGUUAGUGGUUUCAUAAGUUCCCAUAGAGGUAUUGGCUUGGCAGUUAUGCAAGGUAUGGUAGAAGUUGUAUCAAUGGUUGAAAAACUUCCGACUCAGGCAAGUAGGAGGAAGUUGUACCUUAAAUUUUAACAAAGUUUAUCGGCAUUUGGCGAAAAAGAAAAAUCUUGGAAGGUGGUAUUCCAAAUAGUCUACUCUUUAUGAUGAAAUAAGUUAAUUCUCUAAGUUGAAAAUUAUGAUUGUCGGUGAAGACAAUUGUUGUAGCCAAAGUGGUAGAUUCUUCAAAUAUCUUGUCAGGUGGUAUUUGUUACAUUUUGACAAAAUCAAAAUAUUAAAAUUGCAGUUGUCCCAUAUCUAAAAGGAAGAAAAUGAUGGAUUCGAAGCAU